rnacentral:lncRNA from 1 species
AGUUUCUCACGUUGGAUGAAAACGUUUGCAGGAAAUCAGCAGGGCUCCAAGAUCUACUGAGGAACUCCAUAGCUCUGUUAGGGCUCUUCGGGAUCUCCAUUUGCCUGUAAGAAGGAAUAUUCUUUUUUUUCUCACCAAGCACCUUCGGUUUCUGUUUAAAAAAAAAAGUUCUCCGGUUUUUUAAUAUUUCAAAGAACAAUAAGUUAGGUAUUAUAAACAUGCUGUGUCAAUUAUUUAAAAACUCACCGUAAAUGAAAGAUUCUCUACUUGUAUCUCUCCCUGCAACGACUCCAUCCAACUUGUCCUGGUUAAGAUCCUGAAAGUAGAAGGUAAUUGAAUCUCGUUUCUCGUUUUUCGUUUAUAUGAGAGGAAUUAGAAUUCUGAUUUGGAAAGAUAUGCAAUGGAACUAAAAUGGCCCAAAAGGAGACAUAAGACAAAAAACUUACCCCAACAAGAAGGUCUUCGGUAUACCUGAAUCUGAAAGUGGUACUAGUUCUACUAUGGAAUUACGAGAACUUACUAUAAAUAGAAGAAUAAUGAAUUAAUUAAUUACGUAGCAGUUUUUAUAUAAGAUUAACACCUUCCUAGUUCAGAAAUGUUGACAUCGAGAAAUGCAUUAACAAUUCACGUAAUAUGAUCGUAUUAUAUUAUUGGAAAAAUUUAAAACUUUUCAAAAGCCGGUCCCCGUUUCUCGACGAGGAUGCUGGGGCUGCUCCCAUGCUUAAACAAAUAGUAGAUUUAGAUUAAAUAAAUGGAUUAGAAAGCAAAUCUGUGUGCUUUCCACAAGGCUAUACAGAUUAUAUGUUUGGGUAUCUGCAAAUACUGUGCAGGACCACCAUUUGGAUUGAGAAUUGAUGGUUUCCUCCUUUAUUUAACUGGUUUGCAUAAUCCAAUCUUUUGCAGUUUACAUGAUAACUAAGCCAACUUGGAAUUUUUUUAAUUCCAUUGCAGCCUAGUUGGAGGGAUGUAUCAGCAGGCCGAAUGCCUUCACGUGGCUCGCAACUUGUUGUAAAGGUGUACCUUGUUUUCAUUGGACGAUUAAUAAUAAUGUUUGAAUCCGACGUGUUACCUCGUUUUCUGUUUCAAUUCUUGAUGACAUGCGAUUUGAAGCCAUGGCUAAUUUUUUUUUUCUUUUUUUUUUUUUUUUUGGGAGGUGGUAUUGUAGGUUUGCACGUAAAGGAAGCUGACGAAGUAUUCUUUCUUCUAUCGGUUAUGAUUGGUUGCUAGCGGGGACUAUCAA